rnacentral:rRNA from 1 species
CAGUCGCCGCGGUAAUACGUAGGUGGCAAGCGUUGUCCGGAAUUAUUGGGCGUAAAGCGCGCGCAGGCGGCUUCCCAAGUCCCUCUUAAAAGUGCGGGGCUUAACCCCGUGAUGGGAAGGAAACUGGGAAGCUGGAGCAUCGGAGAGGAAAGUGGAAUUCCUAGUGUAGCGGUGAAAUGCGCAGAGAUUAGGAAGAACACCGGUGGCGAAGGCGACUUUCUGGACGAAAACUGACGCUGAGGCGCGAAAGCGUGGGGAGCAAACAGGAUUAGAUACCCCCGUAGUCCCUGUCUCUUAUACA